CAUUGGAGGUGGCCGCCAUGUUUGUCUUGUCUUCUGUUGUCUUGUGUGUUCAUUCCUUUGUUUAGGAAACACGCCAACAGAAGCAGAUAAAAAGCCUCUACUUUUGCCUUUCUUCCAUUCAAUUACUCAGUCUCUCAUGUUCCUAAAUGCCAGCCCAGAACCAUGGAACCUGAAGAAACACAAAACGCACUCCUCUGCAUCAGUGAAUUGAUUGUGUGGUGGGGAUAUAAGUCUGCAUGUGACUGACAGGUCCCCAACGUGGUGCCAAGUCAAUCUAAACUAGAGAGAAUUUCUGGCCAGGCCAAGCAGAGAUUUCCUGGAUGAAGUCUCCCAAAGAUUGAUUUCCUAAACAUUAAACAUCACUGGUUUUCCAAAA